GUUCUCUCCUGUGCACACAUUUGGCUGGCUGUGCUGUGGAUCAUAACCUCCUGGGAAGAUCCAGUAUUAUAUUCCAGCCACAGGAGUCCCUGAUCUCUGCUGAGUUCACUGACAGACACCUGUAUGCAAGUACCCCAGUGGAGAUAUUUUAAUUUAUUUUAACAAAUUUUAACUCUAUGGGAUACUGGAGUCUGGUGUGGCUGGACGGCUGGAAUAUCUUAGUAUGGGAAGCUCUGGGGAGUUCUGACUCUUUUUUCAUGUUGAUUACUGUGAGAUAUGGAAUUUCCUGUUUUCUUUUUAUGGUGUGAAUUCUGAUUCCUUUCACUUUACUCCUGAGCUGAAUAGUACCUUGUUCCACAAGUAGUUCUGUAGGUUCAAAGCAUCAUUCAUUGGUGGGAAGGUACCAUUCAACAUGACUAAAAACCUUGGAAUCUAGUCCUUAAAUCAAAUUUGCUAGUUGAACUUUAUGUGUGUGUUUGUGUGUACAUCUGUUUUUUAGCUGUUUUUGUUUUUUUUUACAAGGGACUAUAGUUUGCCCUUUUAGACUUCACUGAAACCUUUCAUUUCCAGAGCUACUGUUAGGUCACAAAGCUUCAUAAUGUUCUUUGUUGUUGUUUGUUUCAUGCACUGAAUUAGAAAUUAAUUCUCUCUCAGCUUCCCUUGCAUGUGCUUCUAAAAUUAUAUUCUCCAUUUAAUGUAUUCCAUGGUAUGUGUGUCUCAUCAAAUGUGACAGAUUGGGGUGAUUCUGUCAAUAAUUCAUAUUUGAUAUCAAAUAGAACAAAGUUAAGAGGGAAUUGCAAGGUAAUAUAAUCCCUGUCCCUUUUAAACAGAUGAAGCUGGACUAAAAUUGAUGUCUUCGACCAGGACACUUAACAUUCAGAAGCCAAACCUACCAGCACAGGGAGUGAUAGCUGCUUGUCUGGAAGUAAUAUGGGAAGCCAGGGUAGAGGACAGCAAUUGGCAUCUUCAAAAGAAGUCCUAUGGGCCUCGCUUUUCAGAGCAUAGAAGAAUAAUGAUUUGAAACACAGGAAGUUGCCAUGGAACAGAAUCAUCACCCACUGAUGAGCUUUAUUGUCUCAUAAUGUGUCAGCCUACAAAGAGUCACAGCAAAUGGUCAAGAUACUCUC
rnacentral:lncRNA from 1 species